rnacentral:rRNA from 1 species
AUGGCGGAGGCCUUAGCUCUCAAAUUUGGCCUAAAUUUAGCGCAAAGGGCGGGAUGUAAUCGCCUAAUCAUCAACUCUGGCAAUCUGGAGGUGGUUAAGACAAUGCAAGACGGAGGACAGUCAGCGGGAGCGGCGGCGGCAAUUUUCGAUGACUGCUAUCACUAUGCUUGUGAUUUUAUCAUGAUUAAAUUCGAACAUUGUAAUAGAGAGGCAAAUAAAGUAGCACAUGAACUUGCUAGAUUAGUUAGAUUUUUUUCGACUUCGGUUUGGUUUGAGGAGCCUAUCAGUGAAAUUGUAACACUUCUCACAAACGAUGUAUUGGUUAUUGCUAAUGAAUAA